AUGACUAUGGCUACUUCUCCUUCCCUAUUUAUGCUUGGACGUUAGUGUUUAGUUAGUCAAAGAUUUAUUUCUUCUAAUUUGUAACCUGGUAUGCGUGCAAUUGUAGUAUAUUUGCCUGUUGAUUAUAAGAUAUAUUUUUUAGUUUAUUGCCCUGUUUUAUUCCCCUAUAAAUCUGAACCCUGUUUUUGAAUGUUUUAUGGUAAGAAAUCAACCAUUGAACUGCAGUGUUUAGUUAUAUUUAUUUCUUUAGAUUUGUUACCUGGUGAAUGUGCAGUUGUGGUAGAUUUACCUUGUGAUUAUGAUUUUCUUUUUUUCUCUGCAGAUUAUAGUGUUGUUUAUUCCCCUAAAAAUAUAAAUCUCAACCAUGUUUUAAAAAUGUUUCAUGCUAAGCAAUCAACGCCAUCGACGGUGCCAAGGCUAGCUGUAUCAGCAACUCAGCGAACAAAAACAUGAUCAACUCCCCCACCCUGACCAGGAUACAACCAUGGAUAUCACUCAGGUUCUACUAGAUGCUCAAUCUCGAGAUGCUAACCUUCGAACAGUAGCAGAAAGCAACCUCACACAGUUCCAGGAGCAGAAGCUUUAAGCUACGCUCAACUGUCUAUGUGACUCACAUUUGAUGUACUACUUUCUCAACUUGGGUAGCAGCAACAAUAAGGUCUGAAGCUUUCUCUACAAGUACCUGCACAUGAUUUUGCUGUGAUCUUAGUGGCAAAUUGUUGUGAUCUUCACUGAACAGAAAUGACAGUGGUGUUGCUAGUGGUUGCCUGUGGCCCUAGUUUAGUAGUGUUAUUGUGAAUUUGGUUGAGUUGGGAGUCAAGUACUGAUGUCCCUAGUUAUCUUGCUACUGAUGUCAAGUUAGUUGUGAGUCAAGUACUGAUGGUAAGUUAGUUAUGCAAUAACUUAUGUUGCCACUUUGUGGAAUCUUUUAGUCAUUUCAAUGUUAUUAAAAAAAUGCAUGUUUCAUUCCUA